GAUGAACGCUGGCGGCGUGCCUAACCCAUGCAAGUCGAACGAAGCACUGAGAGUUUGAGAUUUCGGUCAAGAACUUUCUUGACUUAGUGGCGGACGGGUGAGUAAUGCGUGAGCAACCUGCCUUUCAGAGGGGGACAACAGUUGGAAACGGCUGCUAAUACCGCAUGAUAUAUUCGGAUCGCAUGGUCUGGAUAUCAAAGNUUUAUCGCUGAAAGAUGGGCUCACGUCUGAUUAGUUAGUUGGUGAGGUAACGGCUCACCAAGACUGCGAUCAGUAGCCGGACUGAGAGGUUGAACGGCCACAUUGGGACUGAGAUACGGCCCAGACUCCUACGGGAGGCAGCAGUGGGGAAUAUUGGGCAAUGGGCGAAAGCCUGACCCAGCAACGCCGCGUGAAGGAAGAAGGUCUUCGGAUUGUAAACUUCUUUUAUCAGGGACGAAGGAAGUGACGGUACCUGAUGAUAAGCCACGGCUAACUACGUGCCAG
rnacentral:rRNA from 1 species